rnacentral:rRNA from 1 species
GGCUUCUUGUCAUUAAUUAGAAGUCUGGCCUGCCCAAUGUAUAUUAAUGGCCGCGGUAUUUUGACCGUGCGAAGGUAGCAUAAUGAAUAGUCUAUUAAUUGUAGUCUGGAAUGAAAGGUUUGACGGGGGGUAACUUUCUUGUGUUCAAAGUUGAAUUUGAAUUAUUAGUAAAAAUGCUAAUUUGAGUAAGGAGGACGAGAAGACCCUAUAGAGCUUUAUAUGAGUGUUUUUUUUGUGGUAUUUUCUGACAGUAUUUUGUUGGGGCGACAUUUAAUAUAAACAUUUAUUUCUCCCUCUGGUUAGAGGUUAAAUGAUCCAUUAGUAAUGAUUUUAGACUAAGUUACCUUAGGGAUAACAGCGUAAUUUCAUUUUAGAGUUCUUAUCGAUGAUGAAGAUUGCGACCUCGAUGUUGGAUUAGGAUUCCUAUGAGGCGCAGGAGCUUUAUAAGGUAGUCUGUUCGACUAUUUAAUUCCUACAUGAUCU